rnacentral:rRNA from 1 species
AUAUUAAUAAGCGGAGGAAAAGAAACUAACAAGGAUUCCCUGAGUAAUGGCGAAUGAAAAGGGAAAAGCUCAUAGAUUGAAUCGGGUGUUCCUAACGGAUCUCCGAGUUGUAAUCUUACGAAUGUGUGUUCAACCACGUGGACCCGGGCAUAAACCUUUGGAAUAAAGGUGUUCAUAGAGGGUGAGAAUCCCGUCUAUGACUCGGUGUUCGCUGUGUUUGAUCAUGUGUUCUUAGAGUAGAGUGAGGAUCGCGAU